UACCAUUCAGUGGGGGAUAACGUAGCGAAAGUUACGCUAAUACCGCAUAUUCUGUGCGCAGGAAAGCAGGGGAUCGCAAGACCUUGCGCUGAUUGAGCGGCCGAUAUCAGAUUAGCUAGUUGGUGGGGUAAAAGCUCACCAAGGCGACGAUCUGUAGCGGGUCUGAGAGGAUGAUCCGCCACACUGGAACUGAGACACGGUCCAGACUCCUACGGGAGGCAGCAGUGGGGAAUUUUGGACAAUGGGGGCAACCCUGAUCCAGCCAUGCCGCGUGAGUGAAGAAGGCCUUCGGGUUGUAAAGCUCUUUCGGCCGGGAAAAAAUCGCAUGGGUUAAUACCCUGUGUGGAUGAUGGUACCGGAAUAAGAAGCACCGGCUAACUACGUGCCAGCAGCCGCGGUAAUACGUAGGGUGCGAGCGUUAAUCGGAAUUACUGGGCGUAAAGCGUGCGCAGGCGGUUUUGUAAGACAGGCGUGAAAUCCCCGGGCUCAACCAGGGAACUGCGCUUGUGACUGCAAGGCUAGAGUAUGGCAGAGGGGGGUGGAAUUCCACGUGUAGCAGUGAAAUGCGUAGAGAUGUGGAGGAACACCAAUGGCGAAGGCAGCCCCCUGGGCCAAUACUGACGCUCAUGCACGAAAGCGUGGGUAGCAAACAGGAUUAGAUACCCUGGUAGUCCACGCCCUAAACGAUGUCAACUAGGUGUUGGGAGGGUAAAACCUUUUAGUACCGGAGCUAACGCGUGAAGUUGACCGCCUGGGGAGUACGGCCGCAAGGUCAAAACUCAAAGGAAUUGACGGGGACCCGCACAAGCGGUGGAUGAUGUGAUUAAUUCGAUGCAACGCGAAAAACCUUACCUACCCUUGACAUGUCCAGGAGCCUGAAGAGAUUUGGGUGUGCCCGAAAGGGAACUGGAACACAGGUGCUGCAUGGCUGUCGUCAGCUCGUGUCGUGAGAUGUUGGGUUAAGUCCCGCAACGAGCGCAACCCUUGUCGUUAAUUGCCAUCAUUCAGUUGGGCACUUUAACGAGACUGCCGGUGACAAACCGGAGGAAGGUGGGGAUGACGUCAAGUCCUCAUGGCCCUUAUGGGUAGGGCUUCACACGUCAUACAAUGGUCGGUACAAAGGGUUGCCAACCCGCGAGGGGGAGCCAAUCCCAGAAAGCCGAUCGUAGUCCGGAUUGCAGGCUGCAACUCGCCUGCAUGAAGUCGGAAUCGCUAGUAAUCGUGGAUCAGCAUGUCACGGUGAAUACGUUCCCGGGUCUUGUACACACCGCCCGUCACACCAUGGGAGCGGGUUCCGCCAGAAGUAGGUAGCCUAACCGCAAGGGGGGCGCUUACCACGGCGGGGUUCGUGACUGGGGUGAAGUCGUAACAAGGUA
rnacentral:rRNA from 1 species